rnacentral:misc_RNA from 1 species
AAAACUCUUAAAAAAUGGUAAUGAUCUACCUGAAUUAGCUCCUUUACCAUCUUGUGGACCUGAAACAAAUGGUGAACAAGAAUAUUGUUUGUUCGAAGUUCCCAUUUGUUCAGGACAUGCACUAACCUCGAUUGGAGGAUCUGAUAAUAUGACCAAAUCUCUGACAAUAAUUUCCGAUGGUAUACCUCAUGCAGAAAGUUCAGUCUUGAAAAGGGAGGUCCUGAAGAAAUCAAAGAAGUUAUCAGAAAUGGAAUCCGCUAAUGGCCAAGAUGACCAGUGUGAUCCAUCUGGUAGGAAGAGUGGAGUUCAUGAAGUAAUUACAAGCAAACAAAACUCUGGGCCAAAGAAACGUAAGAAAUGCCGUCUUAGUGACGAUGAUCUCUUAAUUUCAGCCGUAUUUAGAAACACGACAUGCAAAUCUGGCAACAAAAGGUCCUCUGGUAAAAUCAAACCUCUAAGGAAAAGGAAGAACCAGAAAAGUGGUGGUAAGUUGCUUUUACGUAGUCUUAUUAAGGGUGGAAAACACUUCCCCGAAGAAAAAUGGCCUACCUUUGCCUCAAGGACUGUGUUAUCCUGGUUAAUUCAUUCUGGGGUUGUCUCCCUAAAUGAAAUGAUCCAGUACCAGAACUUGAAGGAUGAUUCUGUGGUAAAAACCGGCUAUAUUACCGCUGAUGGAAUAUCGUGUAAUUGCUGUGACGAGGUCCUAUCCAUCUCUAGCUUCAAAAAGCAUGCCGGUUUUAAGCACAAUCGCCCCUGUUUGAAUCUUUUCAUGGAGAAUGGUAAGCCAUUCACCUUAUGUCAGCUUGAGGCUUGGUCAGAUGAAUACAAGGCACGGAGGGCAGUUUCUCAAACUUCCCAAGCUGAGGAAAGGGACCAAAAUGAUGACAGUUGCGGGCGAUGUGGUGAUGGAGGCGAA